rnacentral:rRNA from 1 species
AUUGAACGCUGGCGGCAGGCCUAACACAUGCAAGUCGAACGGUAACAGGAAGCAGCUUGCUGCUUCGCUGACGAGUGGCGGACGGGUGAGUAAUGUCUGGGAAACUGCCUGAUGGAGGGGGAUAACUACUGGAAACGGUAGCUAAUACUGCAUAAUGUCGCAAGACCAAAGAAGGGGACCUUCGGGCCUCUUGCCAUCGGAUGUGCCCAGAUGGGAUUAGCUUGUUGGUGGGGUAACGGCUCACCAAGGCGACGAUCCCUAGCUGGUCUGAGGGGAUGACCAGCCACACUGGAACUGAGACACGGCCCAGACUCCUACGGGAGGCAGCAGUGGGGAAUAUUGCACAAUGGGCGCAAGCCUGAUGCAGCCAUGCCGCGUGUAUGAAGAAGGCCUUCGGGUUGUAAAGUACUUUCAGCGGGGAGGAAGGGAGUAAAGUUAAUACCUUUGCUCAUUGACGUUACCCGCAGAAGAAGCACCGGCUAACUCCGUGCCAGCCGCCGCCGUAA